GAUGAACGCUGGCGGCGUGCCUAAUACAUGCAAGUCGAGCGAACAGACGAGGAGCUUGCUCCUCUGACGUUAGCGGCGGACGGGUGAGUAACACGUGGAUAACCUACCUAUAAGACUGGGAUAACUUCGGGAAACCGGAGCUAAUACCGGAUAAUAUAUUGAACCGCAUGGUUCAAUAGUGAAAGACGGUUUUGCUGUCACUUAUAGAUGGAUCCGCGCCGCAUUAGCUAGUUGGUAAGGUAACGGCUUACCAAGGCAACGAUGCGUAGCCGACCUGAGAGGGGGAUCGGCCACACUGGAACUGAGACACGGUCCAGACUCCUACGGGAGGCAGAAGUAGGGAAUCUUCCGCAAUGGGCGAAAGCCUGACGGAGCAACGCCGCGUGAGUGAUGAAGGUCUUCGGAUCGUAAAACUCUGUUAUUAGGGAAGAACAAAUGUGUAAGUAACUAUGCACGUCUUGACGGUACCUAAUCAGAAAGCCACGGCUAACUACGU
rnacentral:rRNA from 1 species